rnacentral:tRNA from 1 species
GCGGCCGUGGCGGAAUGGUAGACGCGCAGCGUUGAGGUCGCUGUGGGGUAAAACUCGUGGAAGUUCGAGUCUUCUCGGCCGCACCA